rnacentral:lncRNA from 1 species
UCUUACUAAGUUGAUCAGUAUGUGCAUCCACUGGUGGUAGCUCAUCCCGUAAAACAUACGGUGGUGAGAAUAACUUGGUGGGGAAUUCAUUGGUUGAGAUGAAGGAAAUGUGGACUGCGAAUGAAAUGACUCCGUUUCAAUUUCAUCCACCAUAUCUUCUUGCACAUUUAACAUCACCCAAUUCAUACCAACUUCCCAACAACGUUCCAAGUUGAAAGUUUUUUUAGUAUUUCUUUGAUAGAUAGUCAAUACUAGAGUAUACUAAAAAUACAAAUUAAAAAUUAAUACACUUCAUGCAAAUAUAUAAAUAAUACAAAAUACUAUUAUCAUAACAUUUACCUCAUCGACCAGGUUUCCUCCGCUACCGCAAACUAAGGAAUGCUUCUUUCGUUGCCGAAUACCAGUGGUUCAAAUACUUAGAAAUUUUUUUACUCCACGAACUAAGCACGGCAUCUUUUGUUCUAAUAUUAUACGUAAUUCCCUCCUCAUCAAGAAUUUGUUUCAUUGUAGACAUAACAAUCUUCCACAGACCUCCUUCAGUUUGGUUAGUCCCGUGAAUUGGAUCCUCCGAGACUGCAAUGUAGGCUUUCGUAAGAGCUACAUCUUCAUCUUCUGACCAACCUUUAGUGGGAGCCAUAUAAAAAAUAGAU